UACGUAGGGUGCGAGCGUUAAUCGGAAUUACUGGGCGUAAAGCGUGCGCAGGCGGUUUUGUAAGCCAGGUGUGAAAUCCCCGGGCUCAACCUGGGAAUGGCAUUUGGGACUGCAAGGCUGGAGUGCGGCAGAGGAGACUGGAAUUCCUGGUGUAGCAGUGAAAUGCGUAGAUAUCAGGAGGAACACCGAUGGCGAAGGCAGGUCUCUGGGCUGACACUGACGCUCAUGCACGAAAGCGUGGGGAGCGAACA
rnacentral:rRNA from 1 species